CCACCUGGAAGGCAGAUGUGAGGUGUGGAGCUUCAGUAACCUUGCUGGACCAUGAGAUGGCCUUGGGAUGGAAGCCACACACCUUGUGUGGCAGAGCAGAAAGAAAGAAGGAGCCUAGGCUGCUGAGGACUCUCUGAACUGUCUGUCUCUGGACUUGUUUUACAAAAUGAAUGAAGACACAUGUGCUCUGACAGGAGUUGGCUUAUGUCUGGGAGUUUGUUUACUCAUCCUGAAAAUGAAGGCAAAGUUUAUUUUGACUCCUUCCUGCAGCAUGAGAGCUCUGCUUACAAGAGUGGGAUGGCAACACAGGAAGAAGAUAGCAGCAAGACAGCCAUGCGCCAGGAGGCAGAUGGCAGAAGAGACUUUCAGAGCAGCCAGAAAAUGGAGAGCUGGAUCCACACUCAGGCGUUCUGGCCCCAUAUUGGGGGGCUCUUUUGUGCUCUGCCAUGGUGGGUAGAAAGAGCAGCAAAAGUCAUUGGUGACACCUUCCAGAAAUGGGAUGUUUGAAAAAAAAUCUUCAUAAGACUGAGAAAUUUUGUCUUUCAUAGUACACAGAUUGAGUGGAGUCUACAGAGACUUGGAAAAUGUUGUCAAAAAUGCUGGGUCAGAAUGCAAAUUAUGUGAUCAGACCAAGCAAGCAGAGGGAGAUGCAGCAUCACCAGCUUUUCUCACCAUUUCUGAAAAAUGAGAACUGUGUGAAGACAAGUAGCUCACGUCAGAAACUGACAAUGGCCAAUUCUUUUUCUUACUGGGAGAGAAUACUCUGGAACUCUUCCUACAGGAAAGGCCAUUAGGUAUAGACCUAGUUCCAAACAAACGUUAGUAAGGUGGAGUGGUGUAGUUUGGAAAUGUGAAGAAAAAAGAGAUAAGAGUCAAUCCUGGCCACAGGAAAAGCUUGGGUGAUGGUCCAUAUUCAUCUCUGUUCUCAAAAACUGACUGAGAAGUAAUUGGUGGAGAAGGCGCCAACCACAGUCCCUGUCAGAGUUAGAUUGCCACCCUGAAGCAUGCUGGGAAAUUUUCACAGGGCAUCUCAUCAUUGCCAAUUCCUUUUACUUAGGAAGGUUCAGGAAGUUCAGGUAAGACAAGUGCUCUGCUCUCUUCUUAGUUCAAGAACAUGAUCCAAAGAUGAAAUGAAAUCUGGAAAUGUCAACGACAGUCACUCAACCUGCCAAACCUACUUCCUCGCCUACAACUUCUAGAAAGGGCCAUCCUACCCUUGGCCUCUAACCAAGUCAGAAACCAAUUAAAUUACUCUUUAAGGAUUCUGAACUCAGAGACAUUGAUGAAUUUGCCAAUAUGGUUGAGGAACAUAAGGAAACAGAUAUGUGGAGCAUAAACUGAGGCACCAGGCACCAGGUGCUGCAAACCAGCUGCCCACAGGACAUAUCUGAUACACAACAUGUUUCGCUUGGCCUGCAGGGUUUUAAAUUUGAAAUGAUUGCCAACACUUAAAAACCAGACUAUUUCACAUUUUAAAAUGAGUGGUCUUCCAAAGCAAGCUGCAUGGAAAGUGUGGCUGUUUAAGAAUGAACAUGCUGAUAACAUAGAUGCAAGACUUGAGAUGCAUUUGGGACUUUUCAGACUUUUAGGACAUGCAUUCAAAAAUCACUGGAGCUCAUGUGCACACAUGUUCCCACGAGUGUCCAUCCAGGAGCACCAAUGGGCAUGCUGCAGAGUCACCUGCUGCCUGCGGGGUUCGGCUCAGAAUACUUGAACAACUUUCAACAAACUUACAGGAGACAAGAUGAAUGAAGAAUUCUGUUUUCUAUACAUGGCCCAGAGUCCCUACCACUCCCUUUUGCUCCCCAGGCCCUGAGGCUGAGUGGCACAAGUGAUUUUCUGUUUUAGACCCACUGUUUCAUCUCGGUGAACCCCCACAGGCAUUGGAGCCUGAGAACCCUGCACUCACUGAAGGAGCUCCACUCUGGCUGUGGAGGGCUUCUAAGGGGCCCCAGGUCCUGCUCUGACUGAGGUUGGGUUCGUUAGCAAUUCCUGAAUUCCCAGGACUUUUUCACACCUAGAGUGAGCACUCUCCCUUCUCCCUGCUGCCCCCACACAGUGCACAUUAUUUGAGCAAAUUUGAGUGGGUUUCAGACCUGGCUGCCAAAGGAUCUCUCACUAAAACUACUGAGAAUUAACCCAGCAAGGGAAAGAUGCCGUGGGGAAGCCAACUUGACUGAGUGGCAUGUCAUUUCCAUGACAUCACCUGGAGCCAUUGGCCCCUUUAAAAAGGCUCUCCAUGCACUAUCUGGCGGCCUCAGAACCCUGUUGAUGUGGACUCUUGCAGGCGUCUUCCCACCCACAGCAUCUGGGCAUAGCUAACUAUAUCAUAGAAGACGUCAAGCUAUAAAUGACUCCACUUUUUUUUGCCCCCACAUUCUUGUUCAAGUUGU
rnacentral:lncRNA from 1 species